rnacentral:rRNA from 1 species
CAGUCGCCGCGGGAAUACGUAGGGUACAAGCGUUAAUCGGAAUUACUGGGCGUAAAGCGUGCGCAGGCGGUUUGUUAAGACAGAUGUGAAAUCCCCGGGCUCAACCUGGGAACUGCAUUUGUGACUGGCAAGCUAGAGUAUGGCAGAGGGGGGUGGAAUUCCGCGUGUAGCAGUGAAAUGCGUAGAUAUGCGGAGGAACACCGAUGGCGAAGGCAGCCCCCUGGGCCAAUACUGACGCUCAUGCACGAAAGCGUGGGGAGCAAACAGGAUUAGAUACCCCCGUAGUCCCUGUCUCUUAUAC